GAAGCUGACCAGACAGUCGCCGCUUCGUCGUCGUCCUUUCGGGGAGACGGGCGGAGGGGAGGAAAGUCCGGGCUCCAUAGGGCAGGGUGCCAGGUAACGCCUGGGGGGGGAAACCCACGACCAGUGCAACAGAGAGCAAACCGCCGAUGGCCCACGCAAGUGGGAUCAGGUAAGGGUGAAAGGGUGCGGUAAGAGCGCACCGCGCGGCUGGUAACAGUCCGUGGCACGGUAAACUCCACCCGGAGCAAGGCCAAAUAGGGGUUCAUAAGGUACGGCCCGUACUGAACCCGGGUAGGCUGCUUGAGCCAGUGAGCGAUUGCUGGCCUAGAUGAAUGACUGUCCACGACAGAACCCGGCUUAUCGGUCAGUUUCA
rnacentral:RNase_P_RNA from 1 species